rnacentral:rRNA from 1 species
GUACACAAAAAUGCACAUAUUGUGAGCUCGAUGAGUAGGGCGGGACACGUGGUAUCCUGUCUGAAUAUGGGGGGACCAUCCUCCAAGGCUAAAUACUCCUGACUGACCGAUAGUGAACCAGUACCGUGAGGGAAAGGCGAAAAGAACCCCGGCGAGGGGAGUGAAAAAGAACCUGAAACCGUGUACGUACAAGCAGUGGGAGCCUCUUUAUGGGGUGACUGCGUACCUUUUGUAUAAUGGGUCAGCGACUUAUAUUCUGUAGCAAGGUUAACCGAAUAGGGGAGCCGAAGGGAAACCGAGUCUUAACUGGGCGUUAAGUUGCAGGGUAUAGACCCGAAACCCGGUGAUCUAGCCAUGGGCAGGUUGAAGGUUGGGUAACACUAACUGGAGGACCGAACCGACUAAUGUUGAAAAAUUAGCGGAUGACUUGUGGCUGGGGGUGAAAGGCCAAUCAAACCGGGAGAUAGCUGGUUCUCCCCGAAAGCUAUUUAGGUAGCGCCUCGUGAAUUCAUCUCCGGGGGUAGAGCACUGUUUCGGCAAGGGGGUCAUCCCGACUUACCAACCCGAUGCAAACUGCGAAUACCGGAGAAUGUUAUCACGGGAGACACACGGCGGGUGCUAACGUCCGUCGUGAAGAGGGAAACAACCCAGACCGCCAGCUAAGGUCCCAAAGUCAUGGUUAAGUGGGAAACGAUGUGGGAAGGCCCAGACAGCCAGGAUGUUGGCUUAGAAGCAGCCAUCAUUUAAAGAAAGCGUAAUAGCUCACUGGUCGAGUCGGCCUGCGCGGAAGAUGUAACGGGGCUAAACCAUGCACCGAAGCUGCGGCAGCGACACUAUGUGUUGUUGGGUAGGGGAGCGUUCUGUAAGCCU